AAACGUUUCCAUCCAAUUGUACUUUUCUAAAUUUGCGCUACGAGUGACGUCCAUGUUCUUGCCUCAGAACAACGACAAUGAUUGGCAGAGUGGUUUGCUGCGCCCGCCAAAUGAGACGAGAGAAUGGGAAAGGAAAGAAGAAGGGAAAAAAAAGAAUAAGCAACGGAAAAUGAGACGAGGAGAAGCAAAGACAAAUGACCUGUUGUCGUCCCCACUGCACCUGUGCGAGGAGACCGACGUAGCAGCUGAACACCAUGGCAACAUGACGCUGAACGAGGAAGUGUGGAGGUUAAAACACACGGCGACUGACGUUUCCUCCUUUUAUCACUCAACGAGAGCGUCUAUGAUCACGAGCUGUGAUCCCAGCCCCGAGGAAGUAGAGACACACUGAAUAACUGACUCGGAGAAGCUGAAGAGGAGACUCGACUUGUCAGACUGCCACUCUUCUACAUGCAAGGAUACCUUUUUCUCAAGACAAGUUGAAUUUCUUCUUGCCAAAACACAUUCAAGGAGGGAGCAGCAGUACCAGCAGCUCACGGCCAAAGAAAAAUGGCAACAAUCAAAAAAGCACAAUGGCUGCCUCCAAGAAUGACAUUUUCACACUUGUUCCCAUUGAUUCAUUGGCAACACUGAGACAAAAAGACACAAAGGCGACAGGAUCGCUGUGAAAACACUAAAAACCACAGCUCUGCUGCCUUCCUCCGGGCUGCGACUGGAAACUGACUCAGAAAAGUACAAAUGGAAAACACCUUUCGUCUCUCUGCUGCCUCGCACUUCCUCUGUUCUCGUUCCCUUUACCUUCUGUCACAAUGGAAGUAUCUAUGAGUACAGUAUAUAUAUAUUUUCUGACACGCUGGUUUUUGUCUUUUUGAUGUUUUAUUCAUUAAACGCUGUGUUUGUUUUGCCAGCGUAUAUGCAUUAAAUUCUUCUUCUUUUUUUUCCAUUUCUGCAUUGGAACAGCAUGGAAUAAUUAUUUAUUUAUUUUAUCCACCAGCCCAAAAAAUGUUUGAGAGGAAAAAUAGGCAGUGAAACUGAUGAGUCACCAGUGCUGAUAUCUGUGCUGUUUUUCACCAACACAACAUUUCCUGCACUUUUUCUAAGUAAAAGCACUCUAGCACUUCAGUGUCCUGAAUCCACCUCAUUCAAAACAAACCUCUAUUGUUCACGCCGAGUCCUCCUCGCGUCGAGCUGAAAAGUAUUUAGACGUACAUUAUCGUCUGCUGCGGCAGUCGCAGAUGGGUGAUGCGGCAGAAUGGAGUCGUUAACACGUGCGUCUCACGUUUGCUGUCGCAGCCAACGGAGAGUCGGAUGCCAGCGUUCAAUUUUUUAUUUUUUUUUUUCCCUUCACUUGGACCUUGAAGUAACUCUUCAAUGGAGCGCUUGUCUUUUUAUUCGACCACCAGAGUGUUGUUUGAGAUUAUUAAAGACGUUCAUUAAUCCGGCGUCAACGCAGGCUGAUUAGUGUACACUCACAUCUGUGGUCACUGUCCCUAGGUGGCCUCUGUCAGUUGCAACUGUCACAGGCUGAUUUAAUUUCCACGGGCUCGUUCACAGGGACUCUGGGAACAGUGUGCACCCAGCUCUCUGCCUUCAUUAAACUCCCAGUGCACAUUCUCUUCAUUUCAACAGACAAUCCAUCUGCCGUUCUAAAGCGUGUUUUGUCAAGAGUUGUUAGCCGCUUGGCCCCAGGGAUGAGAACCGUAGGCUAUUAUUAAUCUUGUUUGUUUCGUGUUUCUCUGUCUCUCUGCAAUAGAGGGAUUUAGAGCCUGGUAGACUUUCUCUUCUGUAGACAUAAUCAAUUGUGUUUUUUUUUUUUUUUUUUUUACCCUUUUUAGACUUUUGACGGAAGGCUGCCUCCAAGGUCUCCAAGUGUCACCUUGUGAAUAAUUACUUUUUUUCCGACAGCUGUUUCAGUCUCGUAGCUUUAAGUUUCCACUAAAUUAAGAUUAAGCAUUCAAGAACAAAGGGAGCUGAGAAAGAGACACAUUUGAAGAUAAACCUCAUGCAUUAUGUGCCCUGAGUGAUAUAAG